rnacentral:rRNA from 1 species
GGUAUGGGAUGAGCUUGCGUCCGAUUAGCUAGUUGGCGGGGCAACGGCCCACCAAGGCGACGAUCGGUAGCCGGCCUGAGAGGGUGAUCGGCCACAUUGGGACUGAGAUACGGCCCAGACUCCUACGGGAGGCAGCAGUAGGGAAUAUUGCACAAUGGGGGAAACCCUGAUGCAGCAACGCCACGUGUGGGAAGAAGCAUUUCGGUGUGUAAACCACUGUCAUGAGGGAAUAAGGCCCGCCUUCGGACGGGAUUGAAUGUACCUUGAGAGGAAGCACCGGCAAACUUCGUGCCAGCAGCCGCGGUAAUACGAGGGGUGCAAGCGUUGUUCGGAAUUACUGGGCGUAAAGGGAGCGUAGGCGGAGAUUCAAGCGGAUUGUACAAUCCCGGGGCCCAACCCCGGCUCUGCAGUCUGAACUGGAUCUCUUGGAUAGUUCAGGGGCAGGC